UGAAGCCGCGGAUAAGGAAGCGGAGAGUAGGAGUAUGGCUGUAUAUCCGAUAUGGGAAAAAGGCCACAUCGACAACAUUAAAUUUAGUGAAGAAAGGCAAGUCGCCUACGAAAGAACACGGCCACUAGGAAGACGGACAGCAAGAGAAAUAUGAAACUGCCAAGGACGGCUAUAAACCAAGGCUGCUGAACGAUUGUAUGAAGUGAAGAUGAUCUUCUAGAAAGUCCGCUAUCCAUUCCACCAAUCAUAUGAGGAUCUGUAAUUGAAACAGUCAUCUCCAGAAUAAUAUUUAGGACAUUUUUAAUAUAACAGAAUUUUGGAACAGCGAAGUAACGAGAUACAAGUUAGCGGAGAAAGAAGAGUAGAAGAAAGUAAUGCACACUUCAUCAAAGCCAUAAAUAAGAUCGGAAUUCUUUGAUUGAAUUUUGAACAGCGAUUGGACAGGAGCUUUUACAUUGCAGAUCAUUGCAAAUGAAAUUAAUCACGUAAGUGAAACAGUACAGAUUCCAAGACAGAGAUGUAGUCAAAUUAAAAACAGAAAUGAAAAGGUUAAUUAAGUUAGUAAUUUAUUAAUAAUUUUCUUGUAUUCAUAUUUUAUAUCUUACACAUUAUAUAGUAUGAUCUCUCGCGCAUACUUUGUAUUGCACAAUAAAUCAGGUUUAAUACAUUCUUUCAUAAGUUGCUCUCUUUA